rnacentral:lncRNA from 1 species
CAAAGUGCACUAAAAUCUCGUACAAUCUCAUUAAAUCUUGUGAGAUUUUCAAUAUCAAAACUACUUUAAUUGCGAUUGUCAAUUUCUACACGUCAGUUGAUUUUUAAAGAUCUUAUUGAAUUUUUAAAUUGUAACCUUUUAUCAGGUGCAUUCGGAUGAAUAUGUUUGGUUGCAUUCUCUAGUCCCAGGACAAUAGUUCAGCGUUACCUUGAUCAAUAUGUUAUUAAAUAGUAUCAGUGUUAUAACAGGC